CAAGUAGUCUUUGCAGUAAAUGAUGAAUGCCAUAGGUUAGAUUGGUCAAUUAUAGUCUAGGGUUAGUCUAGCAAACUAAUACCCUAUGCUAUAAUCCUAAUAUCUGGUCUAUAAAUGAAAGUGUAAGCAUUUCACCUCAAGAGUAAUGUGGCAACGCAGGAACUGAAAUCACUAGACCGUUUCUGACACCAGUAGUGAAG
rnacentral:rRNA from 1 species